GACGAACGCUGGCGGCGUGCUUAACACAUGCAAGUCGAACGGAAAGGCCCUGCUUUUGUGGGGUGCUCGAGUGGCGAACGGGUGAGUAACACGUGAGUAACCUGCCCUUGACUUUGGGAUAACUUCAGGAAACUGGGGCUAAUACCGGAUAGGAGCUCCUGCUGCAUGGUGGGGGUUGGAAAGUUUCGGCGGUUGGGGAUGGACUCGCGGCUUAUCAGCUUGUUGGUGGGGUAGUGGCUUACCAAGGCUUUGACGGGUAGCCGGCCUGAGAGGGUGACCGGCCACAUUGGGACUGAGAUACGGCACAGACUACUACGGGAGGCAGCAGUGGGGAAUAUUGCACAAUGGGCGGAAGCCUGAUGCAGCAACGCCGCGUGCGGGAUGACGGCCUUCGGGUUGUAAACCGCUUUCGCCUGUGACGAAGCGUGAGUGACGGUAAUGGGUAAAGAAGCACCGGCUAACUACGCG
rnacentral:rRNA from 1 species